AAAAAAUCUUAAUAUUGAGCUUUUGUUGAUAUUUUAAUUUGAGCAAUGUCAAAAUCUUAAUCAAUAUUUUUCCAUGGAUAAUAUGUAUUCCUUCGACGUAGUCAUAUCAUAUGCCUGUCACUCUUCAUUAAUGAUGAGAAACAGCCAUAACCGGGUCUCAACUGCAGAUCGAGCUAAGGGUCACACUCAAGAAGCUCUCCAUGUAACCGUUGGCUGCCUCACUUCCCAAGAAGCUCUGUGAUAAAAGGUAGCUAGCUA
rnacentral:lncRNA from 1 species